rnacentral:rRNA from 1 species
CCUACGGGUGACAGCAGUGAGGAAUAUUGGUCAAUGGACGGAAGUCUGAACCAGCCAUGCCGCGUGCAGGAAGACGGCUCUAUGAGUUGUAAACUGCUUUUGUACAAGGGUAAACCUGAAUACGUGUAUUCAGCUGAAAGUACCGUACGAAUAAGGAUCGGCUAACUCCGUGCCAGCAGCCGCGGUAAUACGGAGGAUCCAAGCGUUAUCCGGAUUUAUUGGGUUUAAAGGGUGCGUAGGCGGAUUGGUAAGGUAGAGGUGAAAUGUCCGAACGUAACUCGGGAACUGCCUCUAAUACUGUUGUUCUAGAGAGUAGAUGCGGUAGGCGGAAUGUAUGGUGUAGCGGUGAAAUGCUUAGAGAUCAUACAGAACACCGAUUGCGAAGGCAGCUUACCAAUCUAUAUCUGACGUUGAGGCACGAAAGCGUGGGGAGCAAACAGGAUUAGAUACCCGUGUAGUC